AGAUUGAACGCUGGCGGCAUGCCCUACACAUGCAAGUCGAACGGCAGCACGGGAGCAAUCCUGGUGGCGAGUGGCGAACGGGUGAGUAAUACAUCGGAACGUGCCCAAUCGUGGGGGAUAACGCAGCGAAAGCUGUGCUAAUACCGCAUAAGAUCUACGGAUGAAAGCAGGGGAUCGCAAGACCUUGCGCGAAUGGAGCGGCCGAUGGCAGAUUAGGUAGUUGGUAGAGGUAAAGGCUCACCAAGCCUUCGAUCUGUAGCUGGUCUGAGAGGACGACCAGCCACACGUGGGACUGAGACACGGCCCAGACUCCGUACGGGAGGCAGCGAGGUGGGUAAUUUUGGAACAAGUGGGACGAAAGCCGUAGACUCC
rnacentral:rRNA from 1 species